UAAAUAUUUAUUCCCUAUAUAGAUAUUUAUGGACUGGGAUCAAGUCACCCCCUAACCUUCUCUUUGAUAAGCUAAAUAGAUUGAGCUCUCUGAGUGUGUG